GCGCUUUUGUUCUUGUGCUGGACGUUUUUAAAGAUCAAAAGAGUGAUCGGAUUGCGUUUGUUUAAGACGGCUGGCGUGUUCGUCGGGGCCAAUCGACGAACGGGGUGUAAGGUUUUUAGUGGUCGCGUUCGGACAAUUUGUUUAGCAUUGUCCUCGAAUUUUAACUUUUUGCGACGUCUCGCAGUUAUUUUCGAGGAUUAUGCGUGUUUGAAAGGUGAUAAUCUUU
rnacentral:lncRNA from 1 species